rnacentral:rRNA from 1 species
GACGAACGCUGGCGGCGUGCUUAACACAUGCAAGUCGAACGGAAAGGCCCUGCUUGCAGGGUACUCGAGUGGCGAACGGGUGAGUAACACGUGGGUGAUCUGCCCUGCACUUCGGGAUAAGCCUGGGAAACUGGGUCUAAUACCGGAUAUGACCUUCCAUGUAGUGUGGGGGGUGGAAAGAUUUAUCGGUGUGGGAUGAGCCCGCGGCCUAUCAGCUUGUUGGUGGGGUAAUGGCCUACCAAGGCGUCGACGGGUAGCCGGCCUGAGAGGGUGGACGGCCACAUUGGGACUGAGAUACGGCCCAGACUCCUACGGGAGGCAGCAGUGGGGAAUAUUGCACAAUGGGCGGAAGCCUGAUGCAGCGACGCCGCGUGGGGGAUGACGGCCUUCGGGUUGUAAACCUCUUUCGACAGGGACGAAGCUUCGGUGACGGUUCCUGUAGAAGAAGCACCGGCUAACUACGUG